rnacentral:rRNA from 1 species
AGUGAACGCUGGCGGUAGGCCUAACACAUGCAAGUCGAACGGCAGCACAGUAAGAGCUUGCUCUUACGGGUGGCGAGUGGCGGACGGGUGAGGAAUACAUCGGAAUCUACUUUUUCGUGGGGGAUAACGUAGGGAAACUUGCGCUAAUACCGCAUACGACCUACAGGUGAAAGCAGGGGAUCUUCGGACCUUGCGCGAUUGAAUGAGCCGAUGUCGGAUUAGCUAGUUGGCGGGGUAAAGGCCCACCAAGGCGACGAUCCGUAGCUGGUCUGAGAGGAUGAUCAGCCACACUGGAACUGAGACACGGUCCAGACUCCUACGGGAGGCAGCAGUGGGGAAUAUUGGACAAUGGGCGCAAGCCUGAUCCAGCCAUACCGCGUGGGUGAAGAAGGCCUUCGGGUUGUAAAGCCCUUUUGUUGGGAAAGAAAAGCAGCAGGUUAAUACCCCGCUGCUCUGACGGUACCCAAAGAAUAAGCACCGGCUAACUUCGUG